rnacentral:rRNA from 1 species
GCAAUCAGCGUCAGUAACAACGUAAUUAAUUACAACUUUCAACAACGGAUCUCUUGGUUCUGGCAUCGAUGAAGAACGCAGCGAAAUGCGAUACGUAGUGUGAAUUGCAGAAUUCAGUGAAUCAUCGAAUCUUUGAACGCACAUUGCGCCCUUUGGUAUUCCAAGGGGCAUGCCUGUUCGAGCGUCAUUUGUACCCUCAAGCUUUGCUUGGUGUUGGGCGUCUUUUGUCUCCAGUUCGCUGGAGACUCGCCUUAAAGUCAUUGGCA